rnacentral:tRNA from 1 species
GGGGAUGUAGCUCAGCUGGGAGAGCGCGUGCUUUGCAAGCACGAUGUCGGGGGUUCGAUCCCCCCCAUCUCCA